CCGACUCCAGCACACCUGGCAUAUUAGACCACCUGACUUUCAACAUGCAAAGAAUAAUCCACUCCAAAAUGUCAGCGUUGUCCAGGAUGAGGCAGUCUGAUCAACACAAAUGCAGUGAACAAGAGCAACUUUAAGAAAAUUGGAAUGUAAGGACCCUGGAAAUGUGGAGAAAAAAUUAUAUUUUCUAUGUAAAGAAUUUAUAAGUUUAGGUGUUUAAUGAAUGAUAGUGAUAAAGUAAUAUCACUAAUGAUGUUGGUGAUGAUGAUGAUGAUGAUGACAGUUGUAUAUACAGGAAGAAAGUAUGAGAGUGAAGAAGAGUGGCUAUGAGUUGACAAAAGGCUUCUAUACUCACAGACACUGGGUAGGUCUCAUUUCAACUGGCAGAUAUGACUUGGCUGUCAAGUCCUAUUACUCUUAGAAAACUCUAUGUCCACUGUCAGUCUAACUCAAAUGUUUGUCUCAUACGAUAUCCAGAGUUCCAAAUUCUUCUUUUCCUCAGGUCGCUGAGAAAUAAGAUCACCAUGGCUGGUGAAAUUUUUAAUGGCAAUCUUGAUUGGUAUUGUGAGAAAAAUUAGUGACAUUUAUUAUUAAAAAUUAGUCUAUCAAUGUAUGAUUGAUGAGGUAGACAGAAAUAUCCUACAUUUAUAUUGUGCUCUCCGGUUUUCAAAUAUUAUGUAUAAGUAUUAUUUCACUUGGACCUCACCCUAUGCUGAAUUAUGCAUAGAAGUUAUUUUCCAAAUUAUUUUCAUUUAAUGAGAAACUCAUCUGGUUGUUGAUUUGUCUUUUACUAUUUUACAAAAUAUUGGACUUGCAGCUAAAAUCUGGAAUAUAAGAUCCUUGACUAGGUAGGUUUCUUUGUAACUAUCCUAAAUAUCUUUUUAAUGAUGCAAUAAUAACAGUCUGUAUUUUAUUUGAGAGUGUUUAAAGGUUUUAAAAAAAUAUAGUUAACUUCUGCCUAAUUUAAUUUUAAUAAAGUUUUUUAAAAUAAAUUGAGGAAUAGCAUAUAUACAAAAAUGACAGAAAGCCUAAGUGAACAAAUAAGAUUUUUACAAAAUUAAACACAGUGUAACCUUUGCUAAUCAAGAAACAAAUUACCAGUCCCAACAAAUCUCUGCUUUGCUCCCUUCUAAUCACUCUCUUCAAGGCUUAUUUUAAAGGACGUAAAAUUUACAUUCAAUAAAAUUUAUUUUCUAAUUUUUCAAUCCAUGAGGUUCAGUAAUUUUAUAUACCAGUGUAGUAGUGUUUACCAUUGCCCAAACAAGACAUAGAACAUUUCCAUCAAACCAAAAAUUUCUUCAGGUACCUUUCCAAUCAAUACCCCUCCCAUUUACAUAACCACUUUUUAACUUAUAUAAUCAUAGAUUUUAUUCUUGGUCUUUCACUUUAUGUGAACGGAAUAACACUAUAUGUUUUGUACGUAUGUAUGUAUUUGUGCAUGCUCAACAUAGUAUUUUUGUUUCACUCAUUUUGUUGCAACAGUAAGUAGUUUGUUCCAUUUCUAUUGAUGAAAUCAAUUGUAUGAAUGUACUACAAUUUGUUUAGUCUCGGAUGGACACAUGGAUUAUGUUCAGUUUUAGGUUUUUAUAAAAAAAGAUUGUUAUGAACAUUCUUUUACAUAAGUUUUAGUGAACAUAUACAUUCAUAUAUCAUGGACAAAUGUCUCGAAGUGUAACUGUUGUGGGUAGAGGCAUCCCAAGGCUGCCGGGUAUUCUUAACAGUAAUAAUAUGUCUAAAGGAAAAUCAAUACAGAAGUAGAUGUAAUUAUUCUGUUUUGUACCAUAAGCAAAGCCGUAAUUUAAGCAAUGUAGUAAGGAAGUUUUUUUUGUUGUUUUGUUUUCUAACAGUGAUUCUUUUUUCAGAUACUGAGAAUUUUCAAAAACAUGCAGUUAACAAUAACAAGAUUACAGAUUCUCAUUAUUUGUCUUAAAUUAAAAUACAGAUGAAAAAUUAGCGCUUCUUAACUCCUUUGGAUGAAAAAUAAGUUAUUAAUUUUUAUGGGUACAUAGUAGGUCUAAAUAUGUAUGGGGUACAUGAGAUAUUUUGAUACAGGCCCACAAUGUGUAAUAAGCACAUCAGAGUAAAUGGGGUAUUGGAUACCUUAUGCAUUUAUCAUUUCUUCCUGUUACAUACAUUCCAAUUGUACUCUUUCAGCUAUUUUUAAAUGUACAAUAAGCUAUUGUUUACUCUAGUCACACUGUUGUGCUAUCUAAUGCUAGAUCUUAUUCAUUCUAACCAUAUUUUUGUGCUCAUUAACCAUCCCACUUCUCCAACUCCCAAAUAGCCUUCCCCGCCUCUGGUAACCAUCAUUCUACAUCUAUUUCCAUGAGUUUAAUUGUUUAAAUUUUUAGCUCUCACAAAUGAGCAAGAAAACACAAAGUUUGUCUUUCUGUGCCUGCCUUUUUCCAAUUGCCGUAGUAUCCUCUAGUUCCAUCCAUGUUGUUGCAAAUAACAGGAUCUCAUUCUUUUUAUGGCUGAACUGAAUAGUACUCCAUUGUGUAUAUGUAUCUCAUUUUUAAAUCCAUUAAUCUGUUAAUGGACAUUUAGAUUAAUUACAAAUCUUGUCUAUUGUGAAUAGUGCUGCAAUAAACAUAGAUGUG
rnacentral:lncRNA from 1 species